UAAAAUCAAAGUUUUAUUCUGGCUUAAAAGUUUGGUAUUUGGUAAUUUUACAUGUAAGGCUAAAUUUAGAUAUUGGUUUGAGCAGUAAAUAGAUUUAAUGAUUAAGGAAGUUUAGAAUUAGAUAUUCAUUUGAGUAUGGACAAAUCUUGUGCCAGCAGUUGCGGUUAUACAUGAUAUACCUCUAAAUUUGAUUCGGGUGAUAAUUAUCCUAAGGUUUAAAAAUUUAGAUUGAUUAUAUAAGGUGAAAUUUUGUGGUUGGUUUAAUUUAUUUGAUGAGGAAAUAUUAUUAGAUUUUUUGAUGUAGACUAGGAUUAGAUACCCUAUUAUUGAAAGUAUAAAAUUGGACUCCUGAGAAGUAUUAGAUGUUCUUGAAAUUUAAAAAAUUUGGCGGUGUUUUAGUCUAUUCAGAGGAACCUGUCCUGUAAUUGAUAAUCCACGAUUAAUAGAACUUGUUUUUUUAGUUUGUAUAUCGUCGUUAUUUGAAUAUCUUUAAAGGGAAGAAUAUUCAAGAUUUAAGACUUGAAUUUAAAUCAGAUCAAGGUGCAGCUUACAAGCAAGGAGAGAUGGGUUACAAUGAAAAUAUUUAUAUGGUUUAAGAUAUGAAAUUUUCUUAAUAAAUAGGAUUUGAUAGUAAAGUAGAUUAUUUUAUCUACUUGAUUAUAGCUCUAAAAUAUGCACAUAUCGCCCGUCGCUCCCACCAUAAGGUUGGAUAAGUCGUAACAAAGUAGGUGUACCGGAAGGUGUACCUGGAAAGUC
rnacentral:ncRNA from 1 species